UACGAAGGGGGCUAGCGUUGUUCGGAUUUACUGGGCGUAAAGCGCACGUAGGCGGGUCGGUAAGUCAGGGGUGAAAUCCCGGAGCUCAACUCCGGAACUGCCUUUGAUACUGGCGACCUUGAGGCUGGAAGAGGUUAGUGGAAUUCCCAGUGUAGAGGUGAAAUUCGUAGAUAUUGGGAAGAACACCAGUGGCGAAGGCGGCUAACUGGUCCAGAUCUGACGCUGAGGUGCGAAAGCGUGGGGAGCAAACAGG
rnacentral:rRNA from 1 species